UCCGGUUUGCUUCAUUCAGAGUAACCCACUGAGAGUAAGUCAGAGGGUUUGUCAUCUUCUAACUCAAAUUUAGAAGCUGGUUUUAAGUUAUCAAUGCUGACAAUUCUGUCUUUUCCUUGUUUGUCUUCUAUAAUCAAAGUCCUUAGGUUAAUGACAUGUUUUACCUUUGUAGGUUUCCACCUUGGCCAUAAAGGUUUUGCUGCUUGAACUCUUUCCUGGACAAACUGACCAACCUGUGGUGUCCAAGCUCAUAAAAGAUUUUAUCUCCCUUGAGACUGCAGCAUGCAGAGGUGCAAUUAACACAAUGAAAUCAGAAGAGGUACCUUGCAUUCAAUCUUCAGUGUGUGGCUGGAGGCAGCAUGAAGAGGAGCUCCGUGUUGAUGCCUUAAAGAGGAGUACCGACAUCGCCAAUGACAUCGCCGAAGACUUCCCGCCACCACCGGGAUGAAGAUACAAGAUGGACAGCCGCCAGAAUAAAGAUUGAAGAAGAUGGUCCGGCAAUGGAUGAAGAUGGAUUGCCGCAGGGAUGAAGAUGGUGCGCCGCUUUUCAUCAAUCAACCUCUUGUCACGAGGAUGCAAACAUCCAUGCCACCACCACCACCACCACUACCACCAGUCUUCAGGCAACCGCAAGAACAGUAAGCUCCCAGGCAUGAGCAUGGUUGGAUGGCUUCAGUUUAGGACCCAGGAGCGAUGCCACCGCCAUUGACAUAUGACCCCUGGCAAGAUUCCUGGCCAGAGGAAUAUCCUUCCUUUGGAUUUGAGGGGGAGCCAAGACAGCCACAAAGGGUCCAUGUAUUUACCCCUCACAACACAAUCUCAUGUCAGUCAUGGAUUUUACCCACAGACUGUCACAAGAAGUGCCAAUUGGAGAGGAUGAGUGGUCACACACUGGUCAUCAGUGGGACUAUCAACCAACCAUGAGAGUUCCCCCAUCCUCAUCCACGGGACGACUUCCCCAUCCUCAUCCAUGGGACGACCUCCCCCAUCCUCAUCCAUGGGACGAGCUCCACCAUCUGC